CCAAGCACCUGCUUGCUUUGCUAGAGCCGCCCCUGCUAGCUAGGUCACUGAACUUGGACUCAGGAGACCUAGGUGCUGUCCAGCUGGUUGAAUUUAAGCAAGUCACUUCAACUUUCUGUGCCUCUGUUUUUCCAUCUGUAAAAUAAGAUUGGCCCAAUGAAGAUAUUACCUCGCCCACCGGGUCUCUCUGCUACCAUUCAAGAAAGAAAUUUUUGAGUCAUUGAGGAUAGUUCUCUGAAAGGCAGUUUCUCUUUCAGACCCUGAAAGCCCUCUCUUCUGUGUGUGGUCGGUGAACACGUCCAAGGGAAUGAAUGCAGUGCAACUGAAUUGAAUGAACAUCAUUAAUGUGACAAAUGAGACAAGGGGGCCAUGUUAAAUACAAGACAAUCAAAGCUCUCUGCUGCGUUCUGGGACCUGGUAAGAAGGAGAAACUUACUGGGCAAAUACCUGAUCUCAGAAGGAGUCUUGCAAUGGAGAGAUCAAGAAUCUAAAGGAGAAGGAGGUGAACAGCACAAAACAAUGAAGGUGAAGCAGAAAGGAAGGCCAAAAAGAUGUCAUCAUACAGACCCUGAUCCUCAUAUCUGGCUUAGUCUCCAAGCCCAGUCUAAUCAGUAGUGAAAUGAACUUCUGGGUAUAUGAUUGGUAGUAGAGCUGUGCCAGAAAAUUCUCAAAAGUUAGUAAGGAAAAAUUGUUUUCUACUCUUGGUGCUCCAAUAAUCUAAAAUUGGGUUCACUCCAACAUCUUUGCUUAAUCAGGGAGCUCCAUAGUCAUCCCUUGAGAACCAGAAUAUUUAGGGCAGUAGAUCAGAUUUCAGUAACAUCUAAAUUGAUUGAUUGUCAGUCACUGAAAUCAAAAUGUGGUGCUUCAUAGGCUCAGUACUUGUCCCUUCUUAGGCCCUGGCAUUACAAUACUUAUUUACGGUAUGAAUAGAAGUGGCUUUUGGGGGGCCAUUCCCUUCAUAUGGAGAGCAGGAUAUCUAGAAGCUAUCUCCUGCCAGUUCUCCUUCCUGGCUUUCCACAGUAAUAAAACAGUUUGUGGUCUGGUUCCAAGUUUUAUCCUGAAGACUAAUUCCAACUUCCAAAGGAAUCUGGACAUUAAUCUCCCUUCCUUUUCACAUUGGAUAGCUUCAGAUAGAGAAAAAGCUUUUGCAUUUUGGGAUUUUUUAGGGCCCUAAAGGUUUACCUACACAGAGUUGAGGAAAUCAAGAUCUCAAAUGCCUUGUUUAUACUACAUUAUGGCCUCAAAAAAGAUCAGUCCACUUCCUGAUUGGCUAUUGCUAAUUAAAUUUGUGUAUGAGGGAAGCAUAUUUAACAGAGGGACUCACACAUCCCAGUUCACUCUGUGAUGGGUUAGAUCACAGAAACCGCCUUGGGAAUUGCCAACUGCUGUGCUGAGACUACCUCUGAGCCCAUUUUCCCUGGCAGCUUGGGACUUCAGUGCCCUGCCUGGUUUGAGCCAGACACGCUUGCCUGCUACAAACACAGACCUAGGUCUGAACCACUUCCCCUCAAAACUGCAGGUUUGACUGAAAACAGCUUAAGAAGUGUUCCUGUCUCCAACACUCAGAUGCCCAGCUCCCAAUGGGGUCCAAACUCCAAAUAAAUCCGUUUUACCCUGUAGAAAGCUUAUACAGGAUAAACUCAUAAAUUGUUCGCCCUCUAUACCAUUGACAGAGAGAUAUGCACAGAUGUUUGCCCCCCCCAGGCAUUAAUACAUACUCUGGGUUUAUUAAUAAGUAAAAAGUGAUUUUACUAAAUGCAAAAAGUAGGAUUUAAGUGGUUCCAAGUAAUAACAGACAGAACAAAGUGAAUUAUGAAGCAAAAUAAAAUAAAACAUGCAAGUCUAAUCCUAAUACAGUAACAAAAUCUCACCCUCAGAGAUGUUCCAAUAAGCUUCUUUUACAGACCAGCCUCCUUCUAGUCUGGGUCCAGCAAUCAUUCACAUCCCUGCAGUUACUGUCCUUUGUUCCAGUUUCUUUCAGGUAUCCUUUGGGGUGGAGAGGCUAUCUCUUGAGCCAGCUGAAUACAAAAUGGAGGGGUCUCCCAAGGGCUAAAUAGACUUUCUCUUGUGGGUGGAGACCCCCUCCUCUCUUCUAUGCAGAAUCUAGCCGCAAGCUGGAGUUUUGGAGUCACAUGAGCAAGUCACAUGUCCAUGCACGACUCAGAACUUUACAGGUGGCAACCAUUGUUCACAUGCUACCUUGAAUGUCCCCAGGUAGACUUCUUAUGUGGAUUGGAGUCUUCCAAGGUUCCAUUGUCCAUUAAGUGUUUCUUGUUUGGGCACUUAACUUGCAAAAUCCUUUCUUAAGAAGCUGACCAAAUGCCUUACUAAGCCUACUUGAAAUCAAACAAGUACACAGCCAAUAUUCAUAACUUUGAAUACAACAAUGACACAUGCAUACAAAUAGGAUGAAUAUAUUCUUCAGAUCAUAACCUUUAUAGAGAUACGUUACAUGGCAUAUGUAGCAUAAAACAUAUUGCAGUUAUGUCAUAUAUACAUUCAUAAGCAUAUUUCCAUAAAGCAUUAUGGGGUGCAACUUCACACACACCCUUUCAUAACACAAGAUCCUUCUGGACAGAGAGAGAAAUUGCUUCAAUAUAGGCAAUCUGUGGAGUGACCUCUUGGCUCUCCAUAGAUAUCUUCCAGUGCCUUUAUUGUACGGAAGUCAGAGCUUCCUCCAAUGCAGUUUUUAAACGUGGAUUUCUGAGUGCUGUAGUCCAGUGAUACUCCAGCUGGUUCCCCAUAUAGGUGCCAACUCCAUGAAAAAAAUAGUAGGUGCUGAGCACCCACUGGCAGCCCCCCAAUCAGUUUCUCCCCUCCCCCCAACGCCUCCCAUUCGCCAGCAGCCCUACUGAUCAGCUCCACCUUCUCCAUCACAGCACCUCCUGCCCACCAUGGAUCAGCAGUUCAGCAGUGUGCAGGAGGCACUGGGGGGGAGGAGCGAGAGCGGGGCACACUCGGCGGACAGGACGGAAUGGGUUGGGGUUGGGCAGGAA